GGGGGUAUAGCUCAGUGGUAGAGCGCGUGCUUAGCAUGCAUGAGGCCCUGGGUUCGAUCCCCAGUACCUCCA
rnacentral:tRNA from 1 species